rnacentral:rRNA from 1 species
GGGUUGUGAGGUUAAGCGACUAAGCGUACACGGUGGAUGCCCUGGCAGUCAGAGGCGAUGAAGGACGUGCUAAUCUGCGAUAAGCGUCGGUAAGGUGAUAUGAACCGUUAUAACCGGCGAUUUCCGAAUGGGGAAACCCAGUGUGAUUCGUCACACUAUCAUUAACUGAAUCCAUAGGUUAAUGAGGCGAACCGGGGGAACUGAAACAUCUAAGUACCCCGAGGAAAAGAAAUCAACCGAGAUUCCCCCAGUAGCGGCGAGCGAACGGGGAGGAGCCCAGAGCCUGAAUCAGUGUGUGUGUUAGUGGAAGCGUCUGGAAAGGCGCGCGAUACAGGGUGACAGCCCCGUACACAAAAAUGCACAUACUGUGAGCUCGAUGAGUAGGGCGGGACACGUGGUAUCCUGUCUGAAUAUGGGGGGACCAUCCUCCAAGGCUA